AUUUGGAGAGGAUGCUUUUGGCGCGGCGCCUUCCGAGUUCCUUGGAACAGGACGCCAUAGAGGGUGAGAGCCCCGUACGGUCGGACGCCUAGCCUAUACAAAGCUCCUUCGACGAGUCGAGUAGUUUGGGAAUGCUGCUCAAAAUGGGAGGUAAAUUUCUUCUAAAGCUAAAUACCGGCCAGAGACCGAUAGCGCACAAGUAGAGUGAUCGAAAGAUGAAAAGCANUUUGAAAAGAGAGUUAAACAGUACGUGAAAUUGUUGAAAGGGAAGCGCCUGUGACCAGACUUGCGCCCUACGGACCACCCAGCGUUCUCGCUGGUGCACUCUGCAGGGCGCAGGCCAGCAUCGGUUCUCCCAGGGGGAUAAAGGCCGCAGGAACGUAGCUCUUUCGGGAGUGUUAUAGCCUGUGGUGCCAUGCCUCUGAGGGGACCGAGGACCGCGCUUCGGCAAGGAUGCUGGCGUAAUGGUCACUAGCGACCCGUCUUGAAACACGGACCAAGGAGUCAAGCAUUGGGGCGAGUGUCUGGGUGCCAAACCCGCACGCGAAAUGAAAGUAAACGUAGGUGAGAGCUUCGGCGCAUCAUCGACCGAUCCUGAUGUAUUCGGAUGGAUUUGAGUAAGAGCCUUACCGCUUGGACCCGAAAGAUGGUGAACUAUGCCUGUAUAGGGUGAAGCCAGAGGAAACUCUGGUGGAGG
rnacentral:rRNA from 1 species